rnacentral:rRNA from 1 species
CCUACGGGUGGCUGCAGUAGGGAAUCUUCCGCAAUGGACGAAAGCCUGACGGAGCAACGCCGCGUGAGCGAAGAAGGUCUUCGGAUCGUAAAGCUCUGUUGUUAGGGAAGAACAAGUACGGGAGGAGAUGACCGUACCUUGACGGUACCUAACGAGGAAGCCACGGCUAACUACGUGCCAGCAGCCGCGGUAAUACGUAGGUGGCAAGCGUUGUCCGGAAUUAUUUGGCGUAAAGUGCGCGAUGGCGGUCUUUUAAGGCUGAUGUUAAAUCUUCCGCCUCAACCGCAAGCGGUCAUUGGAAACUGGGGGACUUGAGGGUAGAAGAGGAAAGCGGAAUUCUACGUGUAGCGGUGCAAUGCGUAGAGAUGUGGAGGAACACCAGUGGCGAAGGCGGCUUUCUGGUCUGUAACUGACGCUGAGGCGCGAAAGCGUGGGGAGCAAACAGGAUUAGAUACCAUAGUAGUC